rnacentral:rRNA from 1 species
UGAACGCUGGCGGCAUGCCUAACACAUGCAAGUCGAUCGGUAAGGCUCUUCGGAGUACACGAGAGGCGGACGGCUGAGUAACGCGUAGGAACACACCCUGCAGUGAGGGAUAAGACACCGAAAGGUGUUCUAAUACCGCAUACGGUCUUCGGAUUAAAGCAUUUAUGCGCUGAAGGAGUGGCCUGCGUCAUAUUAGAUAGUUGGUGAGGUAAUGGCUCACCAAGUCGAUGAUGUGUAGCUGGUCUGAGAGGAUGAUCAGCCAGACUGGAACUGAGACACGGUCCAGACUCCUACGGGAGGCAGCAGUGAGGAAUAUUUCACAAUGAGCGAAAGCUUGAUGGAGCAAUGCCGCGUGCAGGAUGAAGGCCCUCGGGUUGUAAACUGCUUUUAUAAGAGAAGAUUAUGACGGUAACUGAUGAAUAAGGGACGGCUAACUACGUG